rnacentral:rRNA from 1 species
UACGAAGGGGGGCUAGCGUUGCUCGGAAUCACUGGGCGUAAAGGGUGCGUAGGCGGGUCUUUUAAGUCAGGGGUGAAGUCCUGGGAGCUCAACUCCAGAACCUGCCUUUGAUACUGAGGAUCUUGAGUUCGGGAGAGGUGAGUGGAACUGCGAGUGUAGAGGUGAAAUUCGUAGAUAUUCGCAAGAACACCAGUGGCGAAGGCGGCUCUCUGGCCUGUAACUGACGCUGAGGCGCGAAAGCGU